CGGAGGGAUCAUUAAAGAGUUCUAUAACUCCCAAACCCAUGUGAACAUACCCAACGUUGCCUCGGCAGGUCGCGCCUACCUCGUAGCCCCCUACCCCGUAGGGCCUACCCGGGAGACGCGGGUAAGCCUGCCGGCGGCCCACCAAACUCUGUUUGAUAUUGAAUUCUGAACCUAUAACUAAAUAAGUUAAAACUUUCAACAACGGAUCUCUUGGUUCUGGCAUCGAUGAAGAACGCAGCGAAAUGCGAUAAGUAAUGUGAAUUGCAGAAUUCAGUGAAUCAUCGAAUCUUUGAACGCAUAUUGCGCCCAUUAGUAUUCUAGUGGGCAGGACCGUUCGAGCGUCAUUUCGACCCUUAAGCCUUAGUUGCUUAGUGUUGGGAGCCUACGGCAACGUAGCUCCUCAAAGUUAGUGGCGGAGUUGGUUCACACUCUAGACGUAGUAAUUUUUUAUCUCGCCUAUCAGUUGGACCGAUCCCCUGCCGUAAAACCCCCCAACUUCUCAAGGUUGACCUCGAAUCGGUUCAGACAAACUCGCUAAAUUGAAGCAUCUUAGUCAGCGAAGGAAAAGAAACCAACAGGGAUUGCCCUAGUAACGGCGAGUGAAGCGGCAACAGCUCAAAUUUGAAAUCUGGCCCUCGGGUCCGAGUUGUAAUUUGUAGAGGAUGCUUUUGGCGCGGUGCCUUCCGAGUUCCCUGGAACGGGACGCCUUAGAGGGUGAGAGCCCCGUACGGUUGGACACCAA
rnacentral:rRNA from 1 species